CUACGGGGCGCUGCAGUGAGGAAUAUUGCACAAUGGGGGGAACCCUGAUGCAGCAACGCCGCGUGGAGGAUGACGCAUUUCAGUGUGUAAACUCCUUUUAUAUGUCAAGAAAAUGACGGUAGCAUAUGAAUAAGCACCGGCUAACUCCGUGCCAGCAGCCGCGGUAAUACGGAGGGUGCAAGCGUUACUCGGAAUCACUGGGCAUAAAGGACGCGUAGGCGGGUUGGAAAGUCAGGUGUGAAAUCCUACAGCUUAACUGUAGAACUGCACUUGAAACUUCUAAUCUAGAGUAUGGGAGGGAAGAUGGAAUUAGUGGUGUAGGGGUAACAUCCGUAGAUAUCACUAGGAAUACCUAAAGCGAAGGCGAUCUCCUGGAACAUUACUGACGCUAAGGCGUGAAAGCGUGGGGAGCAAACAGGAUUAGAUACCCCUGUAGUC
rnacentral:rRNA from 1 species